ensembl:lncRNA
ACACAGCCUGGCCACACAGCCCUAGCAGCCCAAAAGCACCUUGUGUGUUUCUUCUCCUGAAGCAAUGAAACAAGGUAAUAUAAUUGCUUUUAGAAUCUUCACCAUUAUUCCUACCUUUGCUCGCUGAAAGAACAGUUUCCUCUAGCACCAGCUGCCACGCCGUGCUCUCCAUGUACCAUCAUCUGGACACACAGAGCAACUUCAGGGAUACACAGUAUAAAUCCAUCCUGGAAGAGACCACUAAUCCGUCCCUCAGAUGCAAAGUAGCAGUAAUAUUACUGAACACGGUGUCAAUCUGAUGUUGAGACUAAGCAAACCGGAGUUACACUUUUGGGACUGGUAAAAUAAGACAUUCUUCUUGGAAGUCUUUACUUCAAAUAGGCCUGAAGGAUGAAAGUGUGUAUCAGCACCCUCACACAGAUAUCAGAGUCCUUUCAAGGUGUGACAGCACUAUAAAUUCCCCUUUCUCCCCAUCAUGCUUUAUCGGAGGCUAAGCAUACGACUUAUCUGCGACAUUGGACCGCUUUCUCCAGCUACUCUGCUCCCCUUCCAUGGAACAGGAUAGAGUGUAAAGACAGAAAUUUACCACUGUGACUCUUCUGAUCUUAUACACAUCUUGGGCUCAGUAGGUCUCCUGAAAGUGAUAAAAGCUCCACCUUUAAGAAAAACACCACGGAAUUAAGUUACCUGUGAAGGAGAAACCACCUCAGCCUCGGCUGAUUGUUCCAGGGAUUAUUGCACUCGCUAAUGAAGAGCAUUCUGCUGUCAAAUAUCUGUCCUGAUUCAGGUGGUGGCAAGUAGAGAGCAGUCUACUUCUCAACCUUCUUUCCCGUGAGCCGGACAGAGGUAGGCCUCGGAGCCUUCCCAUUGCACUGCUACCAAUGUUCAUCAGACACAUGUUGGAGCACAUGUUUGCACCCAGCUGAACAAUCAAUCUCCCUACGACCUGACCUCUUUGUUAUCUGCCCCUUAGCCAUUCUCUGGUACUGGUUGCAGAUGUCAUCAGCAAUGUGCCUUUGUUCCACAACAUCAAUAAUGUUCAAUAGAAGCACAGUUUCUG